UAAGGAAUAUUGGUCAAUGGACGCAAGUCUGAACCAGCCAUGCCGCGUGGAGGAUGAAGGUCCUCUGGAUUGUAAACUUCUUUUAUCUGGGACGAAACACUUCUUUUCUAAGAGGCCUGACGGUACCAGAUGAAUAAGCACCGGCUAACUCCGUGCCAGCAGCCGCGGUAAUCCGGAGGGUGCAAGCGUUAUCCGGAUUCACUGGGUUUAAAGGGUGCGUAGGUGGGUAUGUAAGUCAGUGGUGAAAUCCCCGAGCUUAACUUGGGAACUGCCGGUGAUACUAUAUGUCUUGAAUUAUCUGGUGGCAAGCGGAAUAUGUCAUGUAGCGGUGAAAUGCUUAGAUAUGACAUAGAACACCAAGUGCGAAGGCAGCUUACUACAUAUAAAUUGACGCUGAGGCACGAA
rnacentral:rRNA from 1 species